rnacentral:lncRNA from 1 species
UGUAACCUGUCACAACCCAAUACACAUUAAUAUAAACCUGUAUCUCACAUUCAAAUAUUCAACUUAGCGCUAAAAACGAUAGCAACAUAUCCAGCAAAACGUAAUCUACUAACUAAUUAUCAUCAACACUACUGAGCUAACAAUUACAAAUAUAAGCUAAUGUUCCAUAAAUGAUAAACAAUAUAAUUUACAAUACUUAUACAGACGCAAUUAGACACUACAAUAUAUACAAAUGUUCUACAAUACUUAUACAGACGCAAUUGGACACUACAAUAUAUACAAAUAUUCUACAAUAACAUGAAUAUAAAUGAACUAUAAACUAGUAAAAGUAUCAUCAUCGGGCGGAGGUGAACGAUGCUGCUCUAGUGUAUGGAAAUCAGUGUCGUCCGCCUACUCGUCAUCGUCAGUAUACUCGCCAUCGCCACCCUGUUGAUAGAAUCAAAAAUAUAAAUCAUUAGUCCGUAUAUAUAUAUAUAUAUAUAUAUAUAUAUAUGAGAAUUAACAAGCUAGACUUAAUUGAAAAAAAUAUAAACAAUAAAAAUAUCUGAGUAGGCGGGGGCAGACGAAAAGCCUCCUCCAAGAGGGUAAUCACCAUCCGGAGCAUCUCACCGCUGAAAGCGUCGAACUGCUCCCACGGUAAUCCCUUACUCUCUGCGGAGGCCCCUGCUAUAAUAUCCUGAGCAAACUGGUGAAGAUGAGAACUUGUAGGCAACUGCUGACGCCGAAAGACCGGAUCGAUACGGAACCUAUCUGACACGGCCCCUAUCAGCCGCCGAAAGAUCUCGACAUCCAAGCCAGCUGUGGCGACCCCAAAUCUAGGUACUUGAAACCCGAACUCGGUUCUUCACGAUACCAUUUCUUUAAGCUGAAUAAUACUAAAUAAUAAUAUAAUUCGAACUUAAUUUACAUACAUCAAAGUUUACUUCCCCAGGUACGUGACCUUCAAAUACAUUCCUUACAAUACCUGACAAU